rnacentral:rRNA from 1 species
AGGCAGGCGUGCGCCGGAAUACAUUAGCAUGGUAUAAACGAAUUGGACCGUGUGCCCGUAACUGGGCUUCUCCUUAUUGUUGGUUUGAAGGACACGGAGAUGGUUAAUAGGGACAGCGUUUAUUUCACAAGGAGGCAUUAGUAUUUAAUUUCCAGAGGUGAAAUUCUUUGAAAUAUUAAAGACUAACUUAUGCGAAAGCAUCGUUUGCCAAUGAUGUUUUCAUUAAUCAUUGAACGAAAGUUAGGGGAUCAAAGACGAUCAGAUACCGUCCUAGUCUUAACCAUAAACGUUGCCGACUAGGGAUCGGAGGGCGUGCACAAUCCGCCUUCGGCACCUUACGAGAAAUCAAAGUCUUUUGGGUUCUGUGGGUAGUAUGGUCGCAAGGCUGAAACUUAAAGGAAUUGACGGAAGGGCACCACCAGGAGUGGAGCUUGCGGCUCAAUUUGACUCAACACGGGAAAUCUUACCAGGUCCAGACAUAGCGAGGAUUGACAGAUUGAUAGCUCUUUCUUGAUUCUAUG